UACGGGGGGAGCAAGCGUUGUUCGGAUUUACUGGGCGUAAAGGGCGCGUAGGCGGUCAGUGCAAGUCAGUUGUGAAAUCUCCGGGCUUAACUCGGAAAGGUCAACUGAUACUGCUCGACUAGAGUGCGGAAGGGGCAACUGGAAUUCUUGGUGUAGCGGUGAAAUGCGUAGAUAUCAAGAGGAACACCUGAGGUGAAGACGGGUUGCUGGGCCGACACUGACGCUGGAGCGCGAAAGCCAGGGGAGCAAACGGG
rnacentral:rRNA from 1 species